rnacentral:rRNA from 1 species
GAUGAACGCUGGCGGCGUGCCUAAUACAUGCAAGUCGAGCGAACAGACGAGGAGCUUGCUCCUCUGACGUUAGCGGCGGACGGGUGAGUAACGCGUGGAUAACCUACCUAUAAGACUGGGAUAACUUCGGGAAACCGGAGCUAAUACCGGAUAAUAUAUUGAACCGUAUGGUUCAAUAGUGAAAGACGGUUUUGCUGUCACUUAUAGAUGGAUCCGCGCCGCAUUAGCUAGUUGGUAAGGUAACGGCUUACCAAGGCAACGAUGCGUAGCCGACCUGAGAGGGUGAUCGGCCACACUGGAACUGAGACACGGUCCAGACUCCUACGGGAGGCAGCAGUAGGGAAUCUUCCGCAAUGGGCGAAAGCUUGACGGAGCAACGCCGCGUGAGUGAUGAAGGUCUUCGGAUCGUAAAACUCUGUUAUUAGGGAAGAACAAAUGUGUAAGUAACUAUGCACGUCUUGACGGUACCUAAUCAGAAAGCCACGGCUAACUACGUG